AAAUUGGAUCACGUGGGGUUAAAAACUAGGUCAGUAGAUCUAAAAAUAGAAAAACCUUGUGACCUCUGUAGAGGCCAUAUUUUUCAUGAGAUCUUCAUGAAUAUUGGUCAGAAUGUUCACCUUGAUGAUAUCUAGGUCAAGUUUAAAAGUGGGUCACGUGCCUUUAAAAACUAGGUCAUUAGGUCAAAUAAUAGAAAAACCUUGUGACCUCUCUACAGGCCAUAUUUUUCAAUGGAUCUUCAUGAAAAUUGGUGAGAAUGUUAAGCUUGAUGAUAUCUAGGUCAGGUUCAUAACUGGGUCAUGUGCGGUCAAAAACUAGGUCAGUAGGUUGAAAAAUAGAAAAACCUUGUGACCUCUCUAGAGGCCAUAUUUUUCACGAGAUCUUCAUGGAAAUUGGUGAGAAUGUUCACCUUGAUGAUAUCUAGGUCAAGUUCAAAAGUGGGUCACGUACCUUCAAAAACUAGGUCAUUAGGUCAAAUAAUAGAAAAACCUUGUGACCUCUCUAGAGGCCAUAUUUUUCAAUGGAUCUUCAUGAAAAUUGGUCAGAAUUUUUUAUCUUGAUGAUAUCUAGGUCACAUGUGCUCAAAAACUAGGUCACUAUGUCAAAUAAUAGAAAUAACAACAUCAUACUCAGUUCAACACUGGGUCAUGUGGGGAUAGGUGAGCGAUUCAGGACCAUCAUGGUCCUCUUGUUAAGAUAGUAGGAGUGAGCUUUUUUCCUUUUGUUUUAUUUUUCUGCCAAUCUUCCAUACUGCUGAGGAGGAGAUGCUGCUUCAGAAGAUUGGCAGAGUUGCAUUUUGUUACAGCUGCCAAGGCCUGACAGAUCCCUUUACUAUUGAUCGAGACAUGCUAGCGUGACUAUCGAGGACAAUCGGGUGCCUAUAUGUCCGCAAGAUUUUGACGUGUUGGAGUAACUGGUUCUACAAUUCUGUGCCCGCAGUGUUAAGAUGAAGGUUAUUCCUUUGUUUUGAGAAAUGGGAAUCGGGGAUUGUGAGGAUUUUAAUUUCUUUCAGGUACACAGCCUGCCAGUGACAACUGACUGUGUGUCCCGUCCAUACAUACAGUCGGCAGGAUUUUCUUUCAGCCUCAAGACCUGCCUAGGACAACCUUUAAGAGGUGGGCAGGAUUUCAUCUUUUCCAGGUCCAAGGUCUGCCUAAGACUGCAGAAGAUACAGAAGCAGCAGAAUAUUUCUUUCAGGUUUCAAGGCCUUGCAGGUCCUUUAACUGUUGAUCAAGACUGCUAUCGUGACUAUCGAGGACCCGGUGCCUAUAUGUCCGCAAGAUAUAAGCGUGUGGGGGUGACUGAUCUGCAAUCCUUGCCGGCGGGUUGCUAGAUGAUGGUUGUUCCUUUGUUGAGUGAGACGGAAACCAGGGAUUGCAAGGAUUUCUUAUUUAUUUCAGGUCAAUACCCUGCCUAUGUCUUCAAAUGCAUGUUUUACUUGGACGGAACAUACAUUGGGCAGGUUUUGUAUUUUUUUCAGGUUCAAGGCCUGCCAGGACCGGGCAGGAUUUUCUCUCUUUCAGAUUUCUGUGAAUGUUUGCCUUCCUCUACCAGGACAGGCCAGUCUGUCAGAAUUGUUUUCAUGUAGCUCACUUCUGCAAUAUUGAAUUCUUUCCUUAUUUAAGCAAACUUAACAUAAAAUAAUUUUGCAUUUUUUUUCCUGUUUUGGCUUAUUUAAUUUCAGGCUUGAGAGCAGAGACUUUCAUUAUUUCCAUGCAUGGAAACUGAAAUGAUGACGGUCCUUGUGUAGAGAUCCAGACACUUUGUUCCCAAGGUGAUGUGAAAUGGUGCAAAGUGUUGUGUAUGUCUUCUGCCUUCACUCUACUACACCACUACUGCCUGGAUCUUCAGUAUCUUCAGUUAGUACAGGAACUGUGAUGACACUGAGGAAAUAUUCUACAAUCUUCAACAUGGUUACAGUUGAAUUGUGAUUUCCACAUAGCAAUUGCUGUACAGUGUAAUGCCAGCAUGUAUGUUUUUCUAAGCAAGCGACAAGGUGUGUCAAUGCGGAAGCUGUGCAUCUGGACAGGAUGAGUGGUUGUAUUCCAAUGGCUGUAAGCAUGAAAUCACCUUGCCUUGUGUGGAAGACAUCUAUGAACGGAUCAACCAGAUGUAUACCUUCAAUUUAAAGUGAGUAUUGUAUUACAGAACUUAUUUAGACAGGGUUUAGCUAAAUCAGUUGUCCGACUUAGACACAUGGCUUUCACCUUAUUAGUCCCCUACUGGUUGAAAAUCAGUUUUGGGGACUAUAGGAAUCACUUUUCCAUCUGUCCUUCCAUCCGUCCGCAAUUUCGUGUCUGGUCCAAAACUCUGUCAUCCAUGAAGGGAUUUUAAUAUUACUUGGCACAAAUGUUCCCGAUGAU